rnacentral:rRNA from 1 species
CAAUAGCGUAUAUUAAAGUUGUUGCAGUUAAAAGCUCGUAGUUGGAUUUCGGGACGGCGCGGCCGGUCCGCCGCAAGGCGUGUUACUGACCGAGCUGUUCUUCUUCGCAAAGACUGCAUGUGCUCUUAACUGAGUGUGUGUAGGACUUGUGACGUUUACUUUGAAAAAUUAGAGUGUUCAAAGCAGGCCAGCGCCUGAAUACAUAAGCAUGGAAUAAUGGAAUAGGACUUUGGUUCUAUUUUGUUGGUUUCUGGAACCGAAGUAAUGAUUAAAAGGGACAGUUGGGGGCAUUCGUAUUUCGUUGUCAGAGGUGAAAUUCUUGGAUUUACGAAAGACGAACUACUGCGAAAGCAUUUGCCAAGAAUGUUUUCAUUAAUCAAGAACGAAAGUUAGAGGAUCGAAGACGAUUAGAUACCAU